UGGGAAGUAUUGGACAAUGGGCGCAAGCCUGAUCCAGCCAUGCCGCGUGUGUGAAGAAGGCCUUAGGGUUGUAAAGCACUUUCAGUGGGGAGGAAGGGUGUUGUGUUAAUAGCACGGCAUUUUGACGUUACCCACAGAAGAAGCACCGGCUAACUCCGUGCCAGCAGCCGCGGUAAUACGGAGGGUGCAAGCGUUAAUCGGAAUUACUGGGCGUAAAGCGCACGCAGGCGGCUUUUUAAGUCGGAUGUGAAAGCCCCGGGCUCAACCUGGGAAUUGCAUCUGAUACUGGGAAGCUAGAGUAUGUGAGAGGGGGGUAGAAUUCCAAGUGUAGCGGUGAAAUGCGUAGAGAUUUGGAGGAAUACCAGUGGCGAAGGCGGCCCCCUGGCACAAUACUGACGCUCAGGUGCGAAAGCGUGGGGAGCAAAACAGGAUUAGAUACCCUGGUAGUCCACGCCGUAAACGAUGUCUACUAGAUGUUCGUGGUCUUGUACCGUGAGUAUCGCAGCUAACGCAUUAAGUAGACCGCCUGGGGAGUACGGUCGCAAGAUUAAAAACUCAAAUGAAUUGACGGGGGUCAUAGCUGUUUCCU
rnacentral:rRNA from 1 species